UCCUGACCCAGGGAUCAAACCUGCAUCUCUUACGUCUCCUGCAUUGGCUGGCGGGUUCCUUACCACUGGCGCCACCACCACGAGGUAAAAUCCAGGGCAGUCCAAAAACUGUAGAAACAUAGCUUCUUUCCAAGACAAAGAUAUUCCUGAAGACCUAGAUUCACCUGUUUCCAGAUUGUAUGGACACCCUGAAGAUGGUGGAACUGUAGUUUAAAGAAGUUAAAUCAACGUGCCAGGUCCCACAGCAGAGGGUGCUGAUCCCAGCCUCAAACCCAUGUCAGUCCACCUCCAGAAGGCAGAUGGUCACCACCCACUGAACUUGGACAGGACCCCCUGCUAGGCCAGGCAGGCCCGGGCCUGAUACGCUGCAGCCUGUCUGGAGUCUGUUCUGCGAGGCGGAGCGCCUGGCUGACAGCAGGCUGCUUCUCCCGGUGCCCUGAGGUCUAGGACUGACACUGCCGUUCCAGCUGAGAGACUCCUGAUGCGCCCCCGCAGCCAAUCGGAAGCUGAGUAGCACUGAUUCCCCUUCCCCACGUCUCCCUACACUCCAUGGGUACCAGUGACUGUCACAAAGUCCCCUUGCUCACUUCUGGGACUUCUAUCUCUCUCCCACUUCACCCCCUUCUAUCUAUACCAUUAUCAGAAUUAAAUUCACAAAGGGUAAAGUUAUUAUAUGUUCACCAUUUACAAAGAGCUGACUAUGUGUCAGGCAUUAUUCUAAGCACUCCACAGACAUGAUUUAUUUGAUCAUUACAACAACUUCAUGGAGGUAAGUACUGUUUAUCAUUCUCUUUUUACAGAUGAAGGAACUGAAACACAGAGAGAUUAAAUAACCUGCCCAAAGGUGCAUAGCUAAGCAACAAUACAGCCAGGAAUCAAAAUCUCCACUCUUUCUCCUAAGAGUAGCAAUGGUCACAUUACACUCCUUUUUUACUCAGCAAACUUUCAGGGUUUUCUCUCUCUCCCACCCCAAAUCCAUCUCCUUAGCUUCUAUGCCUUCAAAACCCUGUCCUAACCUACCUUCCUACUCUCAUUCUCAACCCCCACAUUCCAGCCCAAGCUGCUACAUCUUCCCCAGGUACUGUUGAGCCUAAGAAACCAUGUUCUCAGUGUACCUUCUAUCACUCAGUUUCUGCUUGCCCAAAUCCCUCCCUUCUCAUCCUCCAGCCCAGCCAAAAGUCAGUCUUUGCCCUUUUUGAACUCUUCUUAGAUUGUUACAGUGCUAAGAGGAUUGGCCUGGGACCUUCCAGGUUAAAAUACUUAAAUCUCCUUAAUGGUUUUGUCACCUUAAGAAAGCAGAUUCACCCGAGUGUCAGUUUCCUUGUCUAUAAAAUGGGAGUGAUGAUAAGAGUACUUUAUUUUCUAGAGUUACAAUGGCUAAAGGAGGUGAUUUGGGGAAAGUGUCUGGCUCCUAGUGGACCCUCAGUCAAGGUUAACAUCAACCCCCACCCUCCCAGCUUCUCGCCCUCACAGUUUUCAUCAUGUCUCCCUGGCAUUUCAGCUGUUCAAAUCCUCAGGAAACUGUAAGUUAUCUAAGGGAAAGGAUAACCCAUCGGUCUCUGCAUUCUCCUGCACUACUUGCCAAGUGCCCAACAUUGCUGGUGCUCCAUCAAUGAAUGAAUAAAGGGGUCUGGCAUUUCCAGUCCAUCCCAGGAAGCUGAGGUUCUCCAGCGGCACAAAGCACGGCGGCCCCUGGCGGAAAAGUCAAACCAGCAAAUAGAAAUGUCACUCAAUCAUUUCCCCAUGCUUUCCUCUCAUUGGCCUUCUCCACCACAUAUAAUGAGAACUGCUUUUUGCCCAAAUAUUGUUUGAAUUUCAAAUACACAAUUUCCCCCAGGGGUGACCAGAUGAAAAGAGAACUCUGGUUUGCAACAUAAGACCUCUAUGUGGAAGUUGCCUUGAAUGAACACCGAAACGAAAUUUUUAUUGAGCUCCUUGAAAUGACAGAAGCACAUCAAGGCAACCAGGCUCCCUUCCCACUGUGGUGUGCUAAAAUUAUUUUAAAUGAACACCAAGGAAGCACCCCUCAAGGGGCGAGGAAAGAAGGAAGGAUUUUAAACGCAGUGGGCAAAAUAAUA